ACAUGAAGCUGGAAUCGCUAGUAAUCGCGGAUCAGAAUGCCGCGGUGAAUACGUUCCCGGGUCUUGUACACACCGCCCGUCACACCAUGGGAGUCGGAAAUGCCCGAAGUCUGUGACCCAACCUACGGAGGGAGCAGCCGAAGGCAGGUCGGAUGACUGGGGUGAAGUCGUAACAAGGUACC
rnacentral:rRNA from 1 species